UGAAAGAGAGAGAAUUAACUGAUAAAAUAUAUGAAUUAUAUUUCUACAUAAUAUAUAUGAAUUAUAUUUCUACAAAAAGAAAGUGAUAAAUUUAUAAUAUAUUAAUAAGAGAUAAAUAAUUUUUUUUUGUAGUAUAUGUGAAGAUACUUUUAUACUACCUCUUUUUUUUUUUUUUAUACUAUCUCUUAUAAUGAGAAAAGUGUAUAAUAAAUAAUCUUGAAAGUUAAAUUCCACUUGGUAAUAAACAUAAAUUAAUUGCUUGUUUACCCUGGUGUGUUGCUUCAGAUAGUCUUCAGAUGGUCUAUUA
rnacentral:lncRNA from 1 species